rnacentral:rRNA from 1 species
UACGUAGGCAGCAAGCGUUGUUCGGAAUUACUGGGCGUAAAGAGUGUGUAGGCGGUGCUCUAAGUUCGGUGUGAAAUCUCCCGCUUAACUGGGAGGGUGCGCCGGAAACUGGAGUGCUCGAGCGUGGGAGAGGAAAGCGGAAUUCCUGGUGUAGCGGUGAAAUGCGUAGAUAUCAGGAGGAACACCUGCGGUGUAGACGGCUUUCUGGACCAUUGCUGACGCUGAGACGCGAAAGCGUGGGGAGCAAACAGG